rnacentral:rRNA from 1 species
CCCCAGACUCCUACGGGAGGCAGCAGUGGGGAAUCUUCCGCAAUGGGCGAAAGCCUGACGGAGCAACGCCGCGUGAUCGAAUGAAGGCCUUCGGGUUGGAAAGAUCUGUUGACAGGGACGAAUAAGCAAUGCGAAUAGUUUUGUGUAUGACGGUACCUGUUUAGAAAGCUCCGGCUAACUACGUGCCAGCAGCCGCGGUAAUACGUAGGGAGCAAGCGUUGUCCGGAAUUACUGGGCGUAAAGGGCGCGUGGGUGGGGGCUUAAGUCAGGUGGGAAAACGCGGGGCUCAACCCGGAGACUGCCCUUGAAACUGGGGGUCUUAAGGGCAGGAGAG